AUACGUAGGGGGCGAGCGUUGUCCGGAAUGACUGGGCGUAAAGGGCGUGUAGGCGGCGCUGUAAGUCUGGAGUGAAAGUCCUGUUUUCAAGAUGGGAAUUGCUUUGGAUACUGCAGAGCUUGAGUGCGGAAGAGGUAAGUGGAAUUCCCAGUGUAGCGGUGAAAUGCGUAGAGAUUGGGAGGAACACCAGUGGCGAAGGCGGCUUUCUGGACAGUAACUGACGCUGAGGCGCGAAAGCGUGGGGAGCAAACAGGAUUAGAUCCCCGGUAGUCCACGCCAUAAACGAUGAAUACUAGGUGUAGGGGGUAUCGACCCCCUCUGUGCCGACGUUAACACAUUAAGUAUUCCACCUGGGGAGUACGGCCGCAAGGCUGAAACUCAAAUGAAUUGGCGGGG
rnacentral:rRNA from 1 species